GACAGAGUGAUUUUUGUGAAUUUGGGUAUGCUGGAUCUCUGCAGCAGAGCUUCUCUGAGAAGCCUGGUAAAGUCAGGAAAGCUGAGCCAUCUUCUAAUACUACAGUUCAAGCAAACAUUGAUGCACUGAAAAUAUUCAGAGAUGAGUUAUGAACCUUCUCAGAUACCUUGCAAGACAAUGGAGAACUUCUGAAAGAUGCUGAGAUUUAUACAAAUGCCAGGAGGUACCUAGCAGUGCCUCCAGGUUUCUUGGCCCCAGCGAAAAAACAAACUACACUAAAACCCAGAUGUAACCUAGAGGUGCAGCUCAAGUCGUUACCAAGAAAAGGCAGCAGCUCAGAAAGCCACCCUGCACAUGUUCCACUCAUCAGAGAGGAAGCAGAGCACCCUCGGCUGAAGAGCCAGCAGUGAGGGCAAGGCUGGAGCACCGUGGACCUCAACAUGUGUGCGGCUAUCUCAGGGUAUCCUGGUUCUAGGAAGCUGGACUUGGGUGCCAUGGGGAGCCCCUGGGAUCAGUUCUGGUGCAGGAGAGGGGACACAGGGGAUGGUGGGGACUUUGGUGACGGUGUGUCUCCCAAGGAUGCCAGGCAUACACGAGUGACAGAAAUGGGUACCUCUUUUGGGGAAGAGUGGGUACGGAGAGUGUUCCCCCGAGUGUUCCUGAAGGACAAGGAUGGGAGGUGCAA